ACUGUUGAGUGAGUUCUUGAAA
rnacentral:snRNA from 1 species